rnacentral:lncRNA from 1 species
AAGUUUUGAUUAUGAUAGUUGUUAUCCAUUUGAUUGAUAUGUAUGAGCUUUUUAUUUUUUUUAAAUUUCGUUACGGACUUUCCGUUUUGAAUUUUCCUCGGAGUUCGAUAUUAUAUUUUUUUACAAAGUGGCCUGAUAUCAUUCUGCAUAGAAAAUGUCAUUGAACAAUAGGUACUUACUGUGGUGAAAUAACUUAAGCAUUGUGACACAGGAAAUGUACCAGAAUGUUCACGAUAGAAAACGUCGUCUACAGAACGUACGACACGACAUUCGUAUAUACCAAUAGAUGUAACGGAAUUUAAUGGUUGGUUCUGAAAUCACUCUAAUUGGGAGUUUGUUUGUUUGUUUUUUUUUGUUUUUUUUUUUCGACGACUCAUUGGCACAUGUGGAACAGAAUCUGAUCAACUGUUCAAAGUACCAUUAACUACCGGAAGGGGCUCAUGUAGUUCAGUCUUAUAACUUCGAUGUUUUGUAAACUGUUGUUUGUAUUUUUAUCAUUUUCUUUUCUCUUCUUAUUGCUAAU